GACGAACGCUGGCGGCGUGCUUAACACAUGCAAGUCGAACGGAAAGGCCCUGCUUUUGUGGGUGCUCGAGUGGCGAACGGGUGAGUAACACGUGAGUAACCUGCCCUUGACUUUGGGAUAACUUCAGGAAACUGGGGCUAAUACCGGAUAGGAGCUCCUGCUGCAUGGUGGGGGUUGGAAAGUUUCGGCGGUUGGGGAUGGGCUCGCGGCUUAUCAGCUUGUUGGUGGGGUAGUGGCUUACCAAGGCUUUGACGGGUAGCCGGCCUGAGAGGGUGACCGGCCACAUUGGGACUGAGAUACGGCCCAGACUCCUACGGGAGGCAGCAGUGGGGAAUAUUGCACAAUGGGCGGAAGCCUGAUGCAGCAACGCCGCGUGCGGGAUGACGGCCUUCGGGUUGUAAACCGCUUUCGCCUGUGACGAAGCGUGAGUGACGGUAAUGGGUAAAGAAGCACCGGCUAACUACGUG
rnacentral:rRNA from 1 species